UACAGAGGUCUCAAGCGUUGUUCGGAUUCAUUGGGCGUAAAGGGCGCGUAGGCGGCGGGGUAAGUCGGGUGUGAAAUCUCAGAGCUCAACUCUGAAACUGCACUCGAUACUGCUCUGCUUGAGGACUGGAGAGGAGACUGGAAUUCACGGUGUAGCAGCGAAAUGCGUAGAUAUCGUGAGGAAGACCAGUGGCGAAGGCGGGUCUCUGGACAGUUCCUGACGCUGAGGCGCGAAGGCCAGGGGAGCAAACGGG
rnacentral:rRNA from 1 species